CAGCAGACUGUAUUUAUCACUUUGGCAGGGGUGAGUCCCACUGAAUGGGCUAGAACAGGCUAGAUUCAGAACAAGUCUGUUACUGUCUUUCUUCUUAAGCACUACCUGAAUGACCACUACUUAGAUUUUACUUUAUAUUCACCUUUCUUUCCCCAGCAAGUAACAUAAAGCCUGGUGUGUGCAUAAUCUCACUUAGGUCCCUAUUCUUAAACAUAUAAAAUAGUAUAAUCCCCACUUACAAAAGAAAACCUUGGGACCAGAGAAGAAAAGUGAUUUGUCCAAGUUCACAAGGCAAGUGAGUAGCAGAGCAGAACUGGAGGCCAGUUCACAUCACCUUUUACCACACAGCUCUCUUCCUCAGUUCCCAGAUUUCUUCAUGAUGAUGCCCACCAGGAUUCAAAAGCCUUAUAUAACAUGCCAGGCCUGUCAGUACCUUUGUAUCUGCUUGGUUGCUUUUUGUUAAAAUGAUAUAAAAUUCAACUCAAACUGGUUUACAUAGCAAAUGUGGCUCAUUAGUUCAUGUAAUUGGAAAUCCAGAGGUAGGAAGGGCUUCAGGGUUAGUUGAUGCAGCUUAUUAAUGGCUGUAUGGACUCAGAUUCUUUUCUGGCUCUUCACUCUUCUAUCCAUAAUACUCAGCAAGUCACAGGAUAGAUGCCAAAAGCAAGAAAGGAUAAAUGUUGCCUUGUUCAUACCCAUCAGGAAACUACUUAUGCCACAGAAUUCCAAGCAAGAGUCACCCUAAUUGGGCUGCUUAGGUCACAUGCCUAUAGGGAAGAGGCAAUAGUCUAAAGCUACGAUGCCCAAUAAAUUUGCCACUAACUACAUGUAACUAUUUAAAAUAAAAUUAAAUACAAUUAAAAAUCAGUUUCUUAGUCACACUUAGACUUAUUUAGAGUGACCAGCUUAUUUAGAGUGCUCAACAGCCACAUGUGGCUACUGGCUACAGUAUUGGACAGUACAGAUUAGAACAUUUCUAUUGUUGCCAAAAGUUCUAUUGGUAUAAGGCAAUCAAGUAUACCAAGCAACUUGUAGAAGGCAACCAAGACCCAGCUCAAUAGCUGGGGUCAACUUCACCCAAAGUAUAGGGAAUUUGGGGAAGAAGCAGAUCCAGAUGAAAAUCUGUGUAGCUAUGGGAAAGGGCAAAGGAGACUCCAGGUUAGGGGACAAUUUGAUAAACAAUGUAUACUGCUUUGAAGGAGGGGAACCCAGAUGGCAGGAGAAGAAAACAGACAAAUACUGGAAGGCCUACCUCAUGCCAGGCAACUUCAGUGAGACCUACAUUCUAGUGGGGUGACAAAUAAUGAACAAUUUAUUCAAUCAACAAAUUAUUAUGGAGUAUCUUUCAUGGUGCCAGGCACUGUUCUAAGUGGCAAUGAUGCAGCAAUGAACACAAAGGCUACAAGUGAUAAGUGCAAUUAAAAAUAAAGAGAGAAUGAAGAAGCUGGUUAAGAAAAUAGAGAACAACAAAGAGAGUGAGGCAGUUUACCAGAAGGGUGGCUGAGGGAGGUCUCCCAGAGGAAGCAUCAUUUGAGCAGAGACCCGAACCAAGUGAGUGAGUUUCUCUAGCAGUUUCUCCAUGUGUCUAUAUUUGACAGGUCUAAUAUUUUUCAGAGUUUAACCUAAAGGUUUCGAAAUAGAUACCUACCUUCAACAAAUUACAUUAAUAUUUUAAUUAGAUCACAUAAAGAUCUUACUUAUAAAAGAUCUUCAUCUUACACAAGGCAGAAAAAGUUAAUAAAUCUUUCCCAAAACAUUUUAAUGCUGUAAGGCUCCAAUGAACAUCGCCAUGCCCAGAAAAUUAAUAUUAUAAUAUCCACUCAGAAAACUAGAGUAAAAUAUUACAAAGAUAUUAACAAUUAGAAUAUAGGCUCUAAGAAUAUACAUCUAAAGUUUUGAAAAAACUGACUUCAUGAAAAUAUGGUAACAGAAAAACUUGUAAACAAUGGUUAAUUUUUCUGAGCAAAAUUGUGCCUUUUAAUGAAAGUUUUUAAAAACUUAGUACCUAGUCUCUGAAUAUAUUUAAUGAAAUUUUCUUUGAAUUUUUGCUGUUUUGACUCUUGUCAGAUGCAUUCAUUUGUUCAUUUAUUAUUUCCAUAAGAAGUUUAAAAGCAAAGUUCUUUCUGUUUGAUAGUAAAAAAAAAGUUCAAAUGGCUAGGCCAGCAGUCUCCAAAAAGAUUUCCUCAGGUCCCUUCCUGCAAGAGCACAUGUGAGUGAAGCUACAGCUAGGGCAAUAACUUGUUAAAUAGGUCGACCAUCCCUAAUCCAAACAUCCAAAAUGCUCCAAACUCUGAAACUUUUUGAGUGCCAACACGACACUCAAAGGAAAUGCUCAUUGGAACGUUUCAGAUUUGGGGUUUUGGGAUUUGGGAUGCUCAACCAGUAUAAUGCAAAUAUUAAAAAAUCCUAAAUCUAAAACACUUCUGGUCGCAGUCUUUUUCAGGUAAGGAAUACUCAACCUGUACAAUUAGGAAACCAGUGUUCCUCUUUGCACUUCUGCCUUGUCACAUAAGUCCUAGUUUCAUACCUGAACCAAAGUAGAUCAUUCAAAAGACAGAAAAUUCACUGAUGAGUUAUAGAGGUAAAAGAAUUUGACAUCACUCAAAUCAGCAAACAUUCAAUUUCCUUAAAUAUAACCUGGACAAUUCAAUAUUUAGGAACAUCUGCCCCUGACUAUCCUCAAAGAAUUAUCACAACCUUGGGCAUUGUGGGAGCAGCCCAAGCACAGGGAGGAGGUACACAUGCGUAUCCCUAUGUCUAAAACAUGCUGGCUACAACGUAAUCUGUGGUCUAUUGCUUUUUCCUAUAUCAUCCCCACACAUACUUCAUCUCAGAGAGAGGGGAAUUGAGGGCAGGUGGUAAUAGAAAAUGACUGACAUGCUAGAGUUAGACUAGCAGGUAAAAUGUAGUCUCCUGGAAAGAUAUUAUGCAAAGAGCCCAGGCCUUUAGUUUCUAUUAUGUAUUUAUUUCUGAGUUAUUAUUUUAUUAGCUAUUUAUUAAUUAUUUUAUUAACUUUACUUCAUGUUGUGUUUUUAAAGCAUUUCCAUUCUAUUUUAUUAUCCCAGUACAUACAAGAAUAGAACAAAGGGUACUGGGAGGAAAGAUCAUCAUGGGAUCACAGAACACAAAACCUAUACACUCUCUAUCCAUUCCAUAUUACAUAUUGGUUAAGAGUAAUGAUGUGGGACUCUUUUGAGAAAUGGCUAAUUCAAGUUGAUCAGGAAAUGAACAAGAUAAACCUGGAACACCCUGUCAUACGGGGAAAACAAGGAAGCUAUCAAAGGUUACUCAGGUCUUAUCUAAAGGACUCUGUAAUUAUCAUGAUGGGGCUCUCUCUGGUUGACCCUGGAGAAUUCUGAGCAUUUAUCCUACCUGUCUUAUAUAAACUAUACCUCAGGGUAACCAAAUAGUUGAUGAGAAAAAGCUUCUCUAAGAUUUUCAUGUAAUUAAAUUAAGAAGGUGAAAAAAGACUUUCGUUAUCACCAUUUUGCCAUCUCUACUGAAGUAAUGGAUUCAGGAAAUGUACAUCAAUGGUUGCUAAAACCAAUAAAUCAUAAGCUAAUGGGGAAGGAGUUUUACAAUGGAUGGACCAGAGUGGCAAUACUUGAACACAAUGAUCAACAUGAAUAUCAUAAAAAGAGAACCAAAGUGCUUCUUGAUUCACUGUAACAGGAAGUACACAUUACCAUCUAUGAAGUAUUUUUCCCUCAAAAUUGAACCUGAAUCUGAUCUGAUAGAGGAAAUAAAGGGAACAGAGAAACAUCUUAAACAACACUACAAUGCUGCACUCAACAAAAUUCAGAAUGUGGGAAAUUCUACGGGACAAAUAUCCCAGUUUUGCCAACAGAUAUAUUCUAAGAAAAAAAAGGAAGGGUGAACCUACAGACUUAAAUGCUUGUCACAUACCAACCAAAGGCAAUUUGAUUCCAAGUAACCAACUACAUUUUUAAAAAAGAAAAGAAAGAAAAAAAGGAGAAGAGAGACAAUCAAGGAAAUGUGGACAUGAUUUAGAUAAUGAGUGUCAUUAAAUAUGACUAUGUUUUUAAAAAUCUCUAACUCUUGAAUAUAAGUAAAGUAUUUAAGGAUAAAAUGAUAAAUCCAUUUACACCCACUCUGCAGAUGAUUCCAUCUGGUCUCAUGGCUUUAGAUAUCUCUCUAUAUGCCAUUAACUCCCCAAUUUAAAUGCCUAGGUCAAUCUUUCCCCUUAAUUUCACACUUAUAUACAAUUGCCUACUUUUAUUUAUUUAUUUACUUUUUUGUUUAGAGAUGAGGUCUCACUGUGUCACCCAGGCUGCAGUGCAAUGGUAUAAUCACAGUUUACUAUACCUCCAACCCCUGGGCUCAAAUGAUCCUCCAGACUCAGCCUCCCAAGUA